UACGUAGGGGGCUAGCGUUGUCCGGAAUCAUUGGGCGUAAAGAGCGUGUAGGCGGCCCGGUAAGUCCGCUGUGAAAGUCGGGGGCUCAACCCUCGAAUGCCGGUGGAUACUGUCGGGCUAGAGUGCGGAAGAGGCGAGUGGAAUUCCUGGUGUAGCGGUGAAAUGCGCAGAUAUCAGGAGGAACACCAAUUGCGAAGGCAGCUCGCUGGGACGUCACUGACGCUGAGACGCGAAAGCGUGGGGAGCAAACAGG
rnacentral:rRNA from 1 species